GACGAACGCUGGCGGCGUGCUUAACACAUGCAAGUCGAACGGUAAGGCCCUUCGGGGUACACGAGUGGCGAACGGGUGAGUAACACGUGGGUGAUCUGCCCUGCACUUCGGGAUAAGCCUGGGAAACUGGGUCUAAUACCGGAUAGGACCACUGCCUGCAUGGGUGGUGGUGGAAAGCUUUUGCGGUGUGGGAUGGGCCCGCGGCCUAUCAGCUUGUUGGUGGGGGUAUGGCCGACCAAGGCGACGACGGGUAGCCGGCCUGAGAGGGUGACCGGCAACACUGGGACUGUGAUACGGCCCAGACGCCUACGGGAUGCAGCAGUGGGGAAUAUUGCACAAUGGGCGCAAGCCUGAUGCAGCGACGCCGCGUGAGGGAUGACGGCCUUCGGGUUGUAAACCUCUUUCAGCACCGACGAAGCGCAAGUGACGGUAGGUGCAGAAGAAGGACCGGCCAACUACGUGCCAGCCGCCGCCGUAA
rnacentral:rRNA from 1 species